rnacentral:rRNA from 1 species
UUGGAGGGCAAGUCUGGUGCCAGCAGCCGCGGUAAUUCCAGCUCCAAUAGCGUAUAUUAAAGUUGUUGCAGUUAAAAAGCUCGUAGUUGAAUUUCGGGGUUAGUAGGUUGGUCAUGCCUCUGGUAUGUACUGGUCUCACUGAUUCCUCCUUCCUGAUGAACCGUAAUGCCAUUAAUUUGGUGUUGCGGGGAAUUUGGACUGUUACUUUGAAAAAAUUAGAGUGUUUAAAGCAAGCUAACGCUUGAAUACAUUAGCAUGGAAUAAUGAAAUAGGACGUUCGAUCCUAUUUUGCUGGUUUCUAGGAUUGACGUAAUGAUUAAUAGGGAUAGUUGGGGGCAUUAGUAUUCAAUUGUCAGAGGUGAAAUUCUUGGAUUUAUUGAAGACUAACUACUGCGAAAGCAUUUGCCAAGGAUGUUUUCAUUAAUCAAGAACGAAAGUUAGGGGAUCGAAGACGAUCAGAUACCGUCGUAGUCUUAACCAUAAACUAUGCCGACUAGGGAUCGGAUGAUGUUAAUUUUUUAAUGACUCAUUCGGCGCCUUACGGGAAAC